rnacentral:rRNA from 1 species
UACAGAGGGGGCAAGCGUUGUUCGGAAUUACUGGGCGUAAAGGGCGCGUAGGCGGCCUGCUAAGUCGAACGUGAAAUCCCUGGGCUCAACCCAGGAACUGCGUCCGAUACUGGUUGGCUUGAAUCCGGGAGAGGGACGUGGAAUUCCAGGUGUAGCGGUGAAAUGCGUAGAUAUCUGGAGGAACACCGGUGGCGAAGGCGACGUCCUGGACCGGCAUUGACGCUGAGGCGCGAAAGCCAGGGGAGCCAAAGCGGG